CCUACGGGUGGCAGCAGUAGGGAAUCUUUCACAAUGGGCGAAAGCCUGAUGGAGCAACGCCGCGUGCAGGAUGAAGGCCUUCGGGUUGUAAACUGCUGUUAUCAGCGAGAAAUAUGAUGGUAACUUAUGAAUAAGGCUCGGCUAACUACGUGCCAGCAGCCGCGGUCAUACGUAGGAUCCGAGCAUUAUCCGGAGUGACUGGGUGUAAAGAGUUGCGUAGGUGGCAUAAUAAGUAGCUAGUGAAAUCUGGUGGCUCAACCAUUCAGACUAUUAGCUAAACUGUUAAGCUCGAGACCGUUAGGGGUAACUGGAAUUUCUAGUGUAGGAGUGAAAUGCGUAGAUAUUAGAAAGAACACCGAUGGCGUAGGCAGGUUACUGGGACGGAUCUGACACUAAGGCACGAAAGCGUAGGGAGCAAACGGGAUUAGAUACCCCUGUAGUC
rnacentral:rRNA from 1 species